rnacentral:rRNA from 1 species
UUAUCUCUGUAGAGUCUGCAUAUCAAUAAGCGGAGGAAAAGAAACUAACAAGGAUUCCCUUAGUAACGGCGAGUGAAGCGGGAAGAGCUCAAAUUUGAAAUCUUCAAGGUUCUACCUUGACGAAUUGUAGUUUAAAGAAGUGUUUUCUGUUAGAUGAGUAGCAAAAGUUCCUUGGAAUGGGACAUCAUAGGGGGUGAGAAUCCCGUAUUUGGUUAUUCAUUCUAGCUUUGUGAUACACUUUCAAAGAGUCGGAUUGUUUGGGAAUGCAGUCCAAAAUGGGUGGUAAAUUUCAUCUAAAGCUAAAUAUUGGCGAGAGACCGAUAGCGAACAAGUACCGUGAGGGAAAGAUGAAAAGAACUUUGAAAAGAGAGUUAAACAGUACGUGAAAUUGUCAAAAGGGAAGCGUUUGACACCAGUGUUGUUUUUCCGAAAAUCAAUUACGAAUGGCUUGAUUCUGUGUUGUAUUGACCUUAUCAGCUUUCUUCACUUUUUUCGAGUCUUUCUUAAUGCACUUUUCGGUUAACAAGUCAACAUCAAUUUCUUUUGUUGUAAAAGAGUAUUCGGAAGGUGGCUUUCUUUUCGGAGAAAGUGUUUAUAGCCCUAUACUUCUACAAUCGGAGAGAUUGAGGUCUGCAGCGUAGAUCCUUCGGGGUUAGAUACAUUUGUGCUAAGUUAUAGCUUUCAUAGACAACUUGUUGACUAUGAUUAGUCAUGUCGCUUACUCGCUUAUGCUAUUUUACCUACGCUUAGGAUGUUGAAGAUGUAGCACAUCAU